UACGUAGGGUGCAAGCGUUGUCCGGAAUUAUUGGGCGUAGAAGAGCUCGUAGGCGGUCUGUCGCGUCUGCUGUGAAAACCUAGGGCUUAACUCUGGGCGUGCAGUGGGUACGGGCAGGCUAGAGUGCGGUAGGGGAGACUGGAAUUCCUGGGUGUAGCGGUGAAAUGCGCAGAUAUCAGGAGGAACACCGGUGGCGAAGGCGGGUCUCUGGGCCGUAACUGACGCUGAGGAGCGAAAGCAUGGGGAGCGAACAGG
rnacentral:rRNA from 1 species